UACGGGGGGGGCAAGCGUUGUUCGGAAUUACUGGGCGUAAAGGGCUCGUAGGUGGCCAACUAAGUCAGACGUGAAAUCCCUCAGCUUAACUGGGGAACUGCGUCUGAUACUGGAUGGCUUGAGUCUGGGAGAGGGAUGCGGAAUUCCAGGUGUAGCGGUGAAAUGCGUAGAUAUCUGGAGGAACACCGGUGGCGAAGGCGGCAUCCUGGACCAACACUGAUACUGAGGAGCGAAAGCCAGGGGAGCAAACGGG
rnacentral:rRNA from 1 species